rnacentral:rRNA from 1 species
GGCCAGACUCCUACGGGAGGCAGCAGUGGGGAAUAUUGCACAAUGGGGGAAACCCUGAUGCAGCGACGCCGCGUGAGUGAAGAAGUAUCUCGGUACGUAAAGCUCUAUCAGCAGGGAAGAAAAUGACGGUACCUGAGUAAGAAGCCCCGGCUAACUACGUGCCAGCAGCCGCGGUAAUACGUAGGGGGCAAGCGUUAUCCGGAUUUACUGGGUGUAAAGGGAGCGUAGACGGCAGUGCAAGUCUGAAGUGAAAGCCCCGGGCUUAACCCGGGAAUUGCUUUGGAAACUGUACGGCUGGAGUGCUGGAGAGGUAAGCGGAAUUCCUAGUGUAGCGGUGAAAUGCGUAGAUAUUAGGAGGAACACCAGUGGCGAAGGCGGCUUACUGGACAGUAACUGACGUUGAGGCUCGAAAGCGUGGGGAGCAAACAGGAUUAGAUACCCUUGUAU